CCUGGUGGUUGUCGGUACGGAUGUUGCGGUGGCUGUUUUUUUGGACGGUGCAACUACUGUUGUCGUAGUCCACAAGCCGAGGAGACCGUGGAAACUGAAGCUGUUGAGGCCAACGUUGUUGAACCUCAGCAGGGGGGUCGUGGUGGCUGUAGAUACGGAUGUUGCGGAUCCUGGCGUUACGGACGGUGCAGCUACUGUUGUCGCAAUCCACAAACCGAGACCGUGGAAACCGAAGCUGUUGAUGCCAACGUUGUUGAACCUCAGCAGGGGGGUCGUGGUGGCUGUAGAUACGGAUGUUGCGGAUCCUGGCGUUAUGGACGGUGCACCUACUGUUGUCGCAGUCCACAAGUCGCAGUCCACAAGCCGAGGAAACCGUGGAAACCGAAGCUGUUGAUGCCAACGUUGUCGAACCUCAGCAGGGGGGUCGUGGUGGCUGUAGAUACGGAUGUUGCGGAUCCUGGCGUUAUGGACGGUGCAGCUACUGUUGUCGCAAUCCACAAACCGAGACCGUGGAAACCGAAGCUGUUGAUGCCAACGUUGUUGAACCUCAGCAGGGGGGUCGUGGUGGCUGUAGAUACGGAUGUUGCGGAUCCUGGCGUUAUGGACGGUGCAGCUACUGUUGUCGCAAUCCACAAACCGAGACCGUGGAAACCGAAGCUGUUGAUGCCAACGUUGUUGAACCUCAGCAGGGGGGUCGUGGUGGCUGUAGAUACGGAUGUUGCGGAUCCUGGCGUUAUGGACGGUGCAGCUACUGUUGCCGAGGUGCUCAAGCGGAGUCUGAAGGGCAGAAAAAGGAAGAAGCUAAGCCAUGAAUGGUGUGUAAAACAAACUCUAUGUUUGUAUGCAUGGAUGCAUGGUUUAUAUUACUGUUUCGUACGUAUGUCAAAAUAAGGAAAAAGUUUUGCUAUAAAGUCUAUAGAUCAAUAAAAAAAUGUCGUAGGUUCAUAUAAUAUGUGUUUUGUUAUGUAGUGUUUUCGUCGUGAAGAUUGUAAUAAUAACUACUGUUUAAAUACUAAAUCUUGGAUUGCAAUAUUUAAAUUAUUAUAAUGAAAAAGCAUGUGCCUAGGUCAAUGAAAACCACAUAGGUUUUAUGGUAUCACGUAGAUUUGUGAUCCUAAACAUGCAUUAUGAAAGUCGACUUGACAUAUAAAAUAAAACUAAAGCGUUGGUUAGAAUAUCUUUAUUUAUUCUGUUUCAUUUUAAAUGAUGUUUAAAGUUAAUGCAUAUUUAUUAAAAAUUCAGCUUUGAUAAAUUUAUUUUAAUUUUAUAAAAGUAACAUCAAAUAAAAUUAGUAAACUAAUAAAAAUCUACAAUACUAUAUAAUUGGUCAUAAAUGUUAAAAACAUUAAAUUUUUAUUUUAAACAAUGAGAACAUUACUUAUUUUGCAAAAAAAAUAAAAAAUUCUUAAACAUCAAAUAAAUUGAAAUGUAGAAAGUGUCAUUAUAUGUUGUACGAAUAACAAUCGAAGAUUUGUUUAGAUUUUAUACACUCCAGUGUAGGGAGUAUUCACCGAUCCAACCCAUAGAGUUCCAUCACGCUCCUCCACCUCACUUAUAGAGAUCCACUUAUUUCCAAUUGUACCCUCGAAAACCUCCGAUAUUACGCCACUACCUUCGCUCAACCUCACGGCCAUCCCGUUCCCUUUAUACUUAGCCCAAUACGAAUGAACUUUCAUCCAGUCCACCGGCAAGCCCAAAGCGGCGCGUCCUAGCCAGGCAUUCGACAUGGCGAACUUUGUCAGCUUUGAGUGUUUUGUAUUCAGGCCUACCCAAAAUCCACCACGUGGACUCCUCUUUAUGUUGUCGGGGAACCCAGGCAGCCCCUCCGCGAAAAUCUCAUACUUCUCGUGAGAUUUAGAAACCGACGUGUCGUUGAGCCAGUAGCGUAGGAUUUGAGAUGUGGCAGUCUCUGCCACGAGAAGGUAAUCACCGUUUUGGCUCAUAACGACGCCGUUUGCGAACGAAAGGUUGCUUACAAGAGUUGUCACUUGGUUCGUUUUUGGAUCGUAUUUCAUCAAUCUACCGGUUCUGUCCCCACUCAUUAUUGCACCUAUAUAAUUCCUGAAAAAUUUAAACAAUUUACGCUCGUAUAUGUUCAAAUCAUUAUGAAGUAAAAAAUUUUCAUAAUGCAUGUGUACAUUCAUAUAAAAAUGUAUACGAUAUUACUUCAGCCAACAAAAAAUGUAUAAGAUAUUAGUAUAUUACUGAUAUUACGGUGUAUGCAUAAUGCAUGUAUUUUUAUUCUAAGUAACAUUUUUUUUUGCAGAGCUUGUUUUUAUGUAAGAUGAAUCAUGAAUGAUUGAAUAUUUGCAGAAUUUUAAGUUAUAAAAAACAAAAAAAAAGCAGGAAAAAAAUAUUUGCAGAAUUUUACCUUCGUUGAUAAACCGAACUACUAUCAGUGAAGUAGACAACUCCAGUCCGUGGGUCUAUUUCCACAGCGUUGGUAAACCUAAGGGGCUUAUCUAGCUGACGUGUAGAUACUUGAUUGGCUAAACCACCUUCUCGACCAACUUUAAGAAGUCCCAUAUAAGCAUCGGCAAUAUAAAGAUCACCAGUGGAUUUUUCAAAGGCCAGGCCCAAUGGUCGACCACACUCAUGUUCCGUUCGUUGGUGCUCGUGCGGGCCCUCGCAACCUUCUCUGCAUUUAAUUAAAACGUUAAAUACAAUAGUCAUCCAAGUGUUGAACCCUAAGUGUGAACAAUGAACAGAUCCCAUCAUAAGUAACUAUUUUCAUAACUAUAACUAUUAUUUUAUAUCAAGGCUACCAUCAACGCUGGAUUUAAUGAGUUGUUUAAUUUUGUUUACAUGAUUGUUAUUCUAUACUGUAAUCUUUCUGAAAACGUGUAUAGAAAAUAUAACAGUUUUAGCACAAAUCUGGACCACCAAAAAGUCAAUAUCAAUUUUCCCAUCUUGGUUGUGUACUCAUGACUCCCAGUAAAUACAAAGAAUGUAAGUUCAAAAAAAAAGAAGAACGCAGCAUUUUCAUUUUUUUCACUCAAUUCUUUAACUCUUGCAACAUUCGUGUGAGGAGCAGCAACAGAUAAAAUAAUCAAAGGAAACUAAAGAAGCAACUAAGUUGCAUAGUCAAAUGUGCAUAUAUAUAAUUAAAGCACAUGGAAAUUGAAUUUAAUUUAAGAUCCCUUCAAAAUGGGAACUUCACAUGCACGCCCAAAUAACAAAUUGUGAUUCAGAAAGUUAAACUUGCAACUCAAAACAGCCAAGUUGACCACGUGAAAACUGAAGUACAUAUGCAGAAACAAAAGAAGUACCUUUCAUUUGGUCAGGAACUCAUAACUAAUUGUAUCAUAAAUAGUUUAGUUAUAUUCAAAAGAUUGAAGUCAAACACUGUUGGCAUUUCAAAGGAUAAUUUUAUUAUUCUGAUAAUUUAGAUCGUUUAUCUCGGUAGGGCAGAGGGAGUUAGUUGGAUACAGUUGAAGGAUUUUGCUUUAUUUUUCGGUUCAAUUUUUUUUUGGCUCAACUUCAACUUAUAUCAACCAAAUUUGAAUUGACAAUCUUAUCCAAUUUCUACAUUUUGAUCACAAAUACACAGUUAAGAUUGAUAUAGUAUCACCCAAAAACAUUCAAAAGGCUACCUACGCUACUCUAUCAAAACCUAUAGUGUGCACGAAAAAGACUCCUACAAAACAAAUUCAAAUACCCGGGGUUUAUUAUGAAGAUACAUUCCCAAUAAAAGUGGAAAAUGAAAAGGAGAAAUAAUUGUGUACCUUGUUGGCGUGGUGACGGCGAAAUCCAUCCAACGACUCUCAUUAGCUAUCCACUUAACAAUUCGACCAUCAGAUAAACCGGUGAAUGGACCGUCGCCGUAGAAAUCGAAGGCGAAACUCUCCGGUCCCAAAGCGCCGGUGGUAGGAAUCAGAUGGAAGUCAGGGAAAUGAACUGUCAACAUUGACUCUCCAUGUUUUGGACUCUCGCCAGAAGAAUCGAAGAGGCUUAAGAGAAGGGCAAAUGAUAUCGCCAACACAAAGAAGAGUUUCAUCAUUCUCCCUUUUCUUCCCACCCUAAACUGUGGCUUGUGGUAUGAGUGAUAAUUCUCUUAUAUAUAAACUAAUGUCAAAAUAAUAAAUAGUUUUCUUAUACAUGUCGACUUCGUGUCAAAAACUCAACACUAAAUAGUUAUAUUAUUGUAUUCUUGGGGUUCGUGGAUCAUGCAUUUGUCAUCAUGCAUUUGUUAGUUCAUAUGUUAAUUUUUUUUCGAGUCAUUCUUGGGUUCAUCCCCCUAGGGAUUACAUUAUGUUUUAUGUUUGGGUGAUUACAUUAUGUUUUAUUUUAAAAACAUAAUAUAACUUGAUAAUAUUUUAUUUCAUUUUAUAAAAAAUAUCAAAUUUGAAAUAACAUAAUCCUAUUGGUUGGUGAACCUAGAGGUUCACUUUAGGGGGUGAACCCAAGAAUAAGUCUUUCUUUUCUGUUCAACAUUUCUUUCUUAUUGCUUUAUUAUGAAAGAUACAUUUCUUUCUUACUUACCAGACAUAUUCAUACAUGAUACUACUCACCUAGCUAACAUUGUCAAGAUAGAAGUUUUGCCGUUUAUGGGAUGAGAAUACAAAGAAAUCAAACAUUAAUAUAUUCUGCUAGUCUGCCUCAAUUCGUGUAUCAAUUAUGCAUAUAUGCCAAUAUAAAAUUUCAAUGAUUCUAUAUAAUAAGAUUAUUCAUUUCUAAAUUUUCUAUAAAUAAACAUUAAAAACAAAAAAAGAAGUAAAACUCAUAUUAUAUUUCUCUUAUUAAAACAAAAACAUUCACUUGGACCCAACUUUUUUAUAAGAUUUUAAAUUAAAUAUAUCCUUAUACUAUAUAGUUAUACCCCACAUGUAUCUAUUAAAUUAUUCAUUCCUUAUAAUUUGAGCGUUUAGGAAAUAAAAUAACCAACACUUUUAAUUAUAUAUUUUUAUUUCUUUACAAACCAACAUUUUUUAGAUAUAUCUAUUAAUUAUGUUUUUUUUUAAUCAGAACCUGCCCAACCGAAUGCAUAUAUAUAAUAUAAUUAUUUUAAUAACUAAUCUAAGUACAUGUUUUCUGUAAUUUAUUUUUUUAAUAAAAUUGAAAGCAUGACCCGCUCGGAUACGCCAAUUCAGAUCUUGUUAUACGGAGUAUUACUGAUUAUUUCUAAUGUUUGUGAUUUCUUAUGCAUAGUAUACAUGUAGAUGGUAUGAUUGCUUACAAAACGCCGGAGAUCGAGGGAUCACAUUUAGAUCAUUUUAUUAAAAGUAGAUAUAUUUUGCGUAUUCUCUGUAAUUUUCCCCAAAAAAAAUCUGCAGAUUUGAUAUUUAUCUGGUUACCAUCAGUUUUACAGGUUUGGGUAAAGUAAUGUUAUUCGGCGCCAAAACAAAUUAUAUAUAUGGAAAAUUAACAUUUUCCUUGCACAGAAAAUUAAACGUUGAAUGAGGAAGAAUGGAAGACGUAAAAUUUAAAACAUUUAAAACCCAAAAAAAUAUAAAACUACAAUGAGAUCAAUAUCUUACUACUUACAUUUUAUUUUGUAACAAAUAAUAAAUGUUUUUUUGUUCACUAAAUAAUAAAUGCUUUUGUUUGAUUUUUAUGCAUAAACAAAACAUAAAUUUUUAUUAUUAUUAUUAUUAUUAUUACUAGGUAAAGAACCCGUGCGAUAUUGCACGGUAACUCAUUUCAUAAAAAUAAAAAUAAUAUAUUUUAUAAAAUAAAUUUUUAUGAAAAUAGUUUAGAAUUAAUACAGAGAAAAUACACAUGUUACAAAAUUAUUUUGUACAUAACUAUAUUCUUUUAUUGAUAGUGAUUAUUGAUGUCACUAAUAUGAAACAACCCAAAAGAGUAAGAGAAAAAAAAUACAUUCAUUGAAUGGGUUUGUAAAGAAAAAUAUCAACUCAAAUAAAAUGUCAACGAUUGAUAAGAAUAUUAUAUUACUAAAAUUUACCGGCUUUUGUGACUUUAUCAAACAUUCUUAUAUAACCCAAGUGUAAGAAUAUUUAGGACAUGAAUAUAUUAAGACAUGCAUAAUCUGUUUCAUGCAACAUACAUUAUUACAAAUGCAAAAUUAGUAAGAAAGAAAAACACACAUUUUCAUUUAGUUGAAGAGUAAGACUAAUAAAUUCUGUAUUUUGUUUUGUCAAACCAUUUCAUUAUCUUAAACUUCAAACAUACAAUAGAUAGAGGGAAUUAUCCAUCCUCUUUGAUGACAACAAUAAAAUUUAAAAACAUAAGAAAUUAAAAUAGAUAGAUUCUCCGGAAAGAUUGACAUCGAAAAUGGGAUACUGCUCAAAUGCGCAUCGUAAAACCGGAUUCAUAGCAACGUUUCGUCUGAUUAUCUUCAACAUAUUUGUAACCAGGUUAAUGCACAUAACUUUUCUUCUUCGCCAUUUUAAUAAAUUUAUGAAAGAUUUACAAUAAGAAAUUUAUGAACAUGAAUUAUUUAUAAUAUAUCUUGAAAAGAUACAUCAUUAGGAAAAAAAACACCAGCUAUGUACUUGAAAGUAUUCAUAAAACCAAAAUUUUGUAUUCCUUGACAUCAUCUUUUUUAUAGGAAAAAAAAGUUUCAAUACAACUGACAAAAUUUUCUGUUUUUAUAAUCCAAAGCAUAUAAAAUUGUCUUGCCUUAAAUGAAUCACGUCAGCAAGGAAAUUGUUUUUGCCAACUCUUCUCUAAAUAGUUUCUUUUGAAACAGUACAUCCUCUUUAAAAUAACAAAAGUACAUUUUCUAAUCUUUUUUUUUUCUUGUCAACUUUUUCAUAAUCUUACAAUUUUUUUUUAAAAAAGGCACGCAGCCCCACUCAGCAACCUAUUCGUUGUGUUGCCUUCUGAGUUCUGACCAUUUUAAAAAAUUUGUCUGUCAUCAAACCCAUCCAAAACAAACAAUGCCAUAAACAUCAGACUCAAUUAAAGGAAAUAAUCAUAAAAAAGAAUGUGACAACCACAUUAGUAGAAGAGAACAAGAAUGUGACUAUUAGCCAACAAGGGAGUGACCACAUAUUGUUUACAAGUAUCGGCGUUUUUAUCUUGUCUAUUAUGGUCAGUGGACUGCACAGGCUGGUCAUAAGCCUCGCACCUUUUCAGAUUGGUUUAUGAACUUCAGAUUUUAUUUUGAACUUCGAAAAUUAUAUAUCAUGGGAUUAUAAGUAUACAAACAUAUACAGAAAAGGUAUACAAACACAUAAAAGAAGCUUUGGCCUACCAGAAUAUAUUCUGAUAUAGAAGUAAUAGCCAACAUAAAUAAGAAUUUGAAACUGAAAAUUUCGUUUCUUACAGUGAAUGUGUCAACAGUGCCAUGCGAAAGCGCAUAGUAUCAUCCUUUGCUAGUUCAAUUGCUAUUCGGUUAUCUAAAUUAUGCGUUUUAAAUUGGCACUUUUUUGUUCCAUCAUGAGAUAUUCCUCUCUUUGAGCUUGUAGAUAGGAUUUAACAAUUUACUUAUUAGUUGAAUAUAUUAACAUUAAAACCCGAAAAUACUCGAAAAUAUAAUCAAAUUGAAUAAGCCUUUCUUCAAAAAAAAAAAAAAAUCAAAUUGAAAGAAAAAAAUGGAAGUGAACCAUAGGGAAAUCAAAAUCUCCUUUAACAAAAGAGGAAGCCAACAUUUCAGUAAAUUAUAAAACCAAAAGUCUUGAAAGGCUUUAUAAGUUUAAGAGCAAACCUAACCGGAUACCGCAAAUACUUUUUAUAAACUAAUUAUCAAAUCUACACACAUGGGAAAAUGACAGUGUAGGAGCACAAUAGAUUCUAUAAUGACGGUACAGAUUUAAAACAGUUCAAGGAAGCCGUAACUUUAGAUCACUGACGAUCGAGAACCCAAACAGAAGGCAGAAACACAGACCCAAACCAAAGCUUACCAUCUCUCUCUUGAACCUCACUUACGAAUUUCAUAUUCUUCCCUUCACUAUCCUCAAGAACCUCCAUAACCUCACCGGUCUUGCCGCAGAGCUUCACGGCACCUGCAUGAGGCUUUCCUCCUUCAAAUAGAAAAACCAACAGGUCCAUAUUCAACGUUUUCAUGAAAAACUUCCCAAUCCACGGAUGCAUCAACGAAAGCCUAGAAAACGGAGUUUUCUUAGAAUGCAAGGCAACCCAAAAAUCCCCUGUCUCGGUCCUCCUGAUGUUAUCAGCGUAGCCCGGGAGCUUAGCGAAUAUGUCGCGGGUCCCUGCUUUAGGUCCUUUGACCCAAUAUCGAUGAACAAGUUGCGUUGGAACCUCACAGGAAAGCACGAACGAACCAUCUUUGCUUAUGGCAAGACCAUUAGGGAAAUGUAGACCGUCCAUUAUAACUUUGGCCUCUUUUGUCUUCUUGUCAUAUCGAAUCGCUCUUCCCGUCUUUUCGCCACACAGAAACGCGUAGAAUACGUCCCUGAUCCAUACACGAACGUAAUAAUUUUAGCAUAUGCCGACAGAAAGUAAAUUUAUACGUGUUAGUAAUAACUUGGUAAAAAAGAAAAGUGGAUUUUUCUUUGGGUUUACAUGUUAUAAUGAAACAAAAAAUUAGUACUUAUAUAUAUAAUUUCUUGUUUUGAAAAGCUCAUGAUAUCAUUGCAUCACCAUUAUAUUCCAAUAUAUACAUAAUGCUUAUUAUUUAGCAAAAAAAAAAACUAUUAACAUUUUUUGGAAACAAAAAACUCUAAAUGCAAAUGAAAAGAUAAACUUAUUUUACGUUGGGUGUUUUCGGUUUUCCUAUAUGCAAAAAAAAAAAACAUAAGAAUUCAUAAAAACAUAAGUGUUUUCAUCUUUAGUUUUAUCUUCACUUAUAAAUGCAAAAUAAUAUUUACCCUUUAAGACAAUUUCAAAUUUGCAAUAUAAAAUUCUAAAAGUCGUGGGUUUAUCAGGAAGCAUAUUAUUGUAAACAUUUUAAGGAAAACGUUAACAAACAACCCAAAUUUGAUUCCCGAAUUAAAUAGAUAAUUAAAGGAAGUAAUAUAGAGGUGAAGUUAUAAUACCCAAAGUGGUAGGUGUCGCUGCUAUCAUUGAAGUAAAUAGCAUCGUCUUCUUCGUCUAUAUCCAUUUGAUUCGCAAACAUAAUUUUCUGACCUUCUACCUCGUCCACGACCUUCUCGGCCAAUCCUCCGUUAGGCCCAACUUUCAUUACCCCUAAGUAACCGUCACAAAAGUACAAAUCUCCCGAUUUUUUUUCAAAGCUCAGUCCUAAAGGCCUUCCACACGCAGGUUCCACCUUAUGUCUCGAACAGUUUCCUCUUCAUUUAUACACCAAAUACAAACAUUGAAAAUUUAUCAUGUAUGUGACUCCUAUAAUCAUUAAUCUAUAAACAGAUUUAUUCUAGCCUUUGAAUUAAUUUAAAAUUGCGGUUAUAUCCAUUUAUACAUGAUAAAUAGUUGUGCUAUCUCAUAUAGAAAAAAAUAACAGUAUUUGAGUGUUUUUAGCGAAUAUUAGCAAUUGCAAAAUCAAACAAAUGUAAGAUGCCAAACAAAAAUAUCCAUAUACAUUUACGAUGUGUAAAUGUUUUUAUUAAUCCUUGUGGAAUAGUGAACAACGUCAUCACUAAAAACAUAUGUGCAUGGAAACACUCAGUCUUUUGGACAUAUACAAGUUAAACAAACCUGUCGGGAGUUGAGUAGGCGAAUUUGACCCAGCUAAGAUCCGCACCGCGCCAUUUGAGUAUGCUACCAUCGGUGACGCCGACGUAUGGGCCUUCCCCUUGUGGGUCCCAGUCCAGGCUUUCCGGUCCAUCAACGGGAAGCGGGAUCAUCGUCGCCUUGGUUAGGACGUUUUUCGAGCCCACUAUACUCUCCGGUCCGAUGAUGGAUGGCCCGACGAAGACGACUAGGACGGCUAUAACUGCCGUAACAACUGCCCAUGUCCGAAAUUUCCGGCUUAUUGGCAUUGUUGUGUAGCUGCUAGCUUUACCUUCUCUUCCGAAAAAUGUGUGUUUUAAGUGUGAGUUUGAAAUGGCUAAUUACUCAAUUAAAUGCAUGAUUACUUUACUAGUUGGAUAUUUCAUGUUUGAGAAUACGUGAGAGAGAAGGAAUAAAUAGAGAAAAGCAUAAGCGAUUAAGAGAAGCGACCCAUAUUACUACUUUAUCUUUUUUACUUCUGUAUUUUCCGAAUAUUACUUUUCUAUUUUGUUGUUUUUUACAUGUACGAAAUGGACUUAGAUUUCAAUAAAGAUUUCUGACAAAAAAAAAGUAAGAGGGAUUGAAAUAAAGAUUUAGUACAACUGUUAAAUUAUCAAGUUGAAAGUUAUAUUUGCGAUUUUCCUAAAAAUAUUUGGUUUGUAUAAUUUUAAUCAUAUUUAUUGAUAAACCAACCGUUCUGCCAUGCAGCAUCUUGUGAGAAUCUCACUUUGUGAAAAGGAAGAACGAAAUUCCAGAAUAUUUUUGACGUCUCUCUGUCUUUUUUUUUCUUUUGAAAAAUAUUCUGGCUGUGGUGGAAAGAAAAGGAGUACUAGUCUGCUUCACGUUUUCUUCUUUUAUACUUGAACAACAUAUUGUUUUUCAUAACGCAUUUGCGAAGAUUCUCCUUAUUAAUUUACAAUCAAAGUUUAUGGGUUUAUAGUCAUAUGUUAAAAUCCCCGGAAAGCAAUUAGCUUGAAUUUUCUUAUAGAGAGGACAUAAACAAUACUAAAUCGUCACGAAAUAGCUAUUCCAGGUUUCAGAAUAAUCAGAAUUGAGAGUUGGUCUUGUAGCCUGAGAGAGUCGCCUCUUAGAUCAUAACUAGUUGAUGGUGAUGCUUGGCUGGGCAUCAUCCUUGACUUGAGCCCAACUUAUUAUCGAGCCUUUUCUGAUGCUUAAGAGUUACGUAAGACCUUUUUGUCAUUCUUCAGUGCCAAGUCUAGAAUAAUUUCAAAACUAAUAAUUUAAGAAACAACCCCAUGACUUUUUGUUAUUCUUCAUUCCCAUCAAGUUUUUGCUAUUUAACCAGUUAUAUUAUACUAAGGGAAAAUAGAAGAUGAGGCUCGGUUCACUUUUAUAUCGAGUCCAAUUUAGCCCAAUAACAUGUCAAGACGGGCCCGAUGAUUGUCGUAUUAUAUAUCAAACAUCAUUCCCUUAAUACUCUCACUCAAGGUACCUAAUAUUAAUACUUAGAUAGAGAGUCCAUUGUGACCCUUAGAGACGUAUCAAUUAUACAUAUGUAAUGAUAUCAUCGAAAUAGAACGAUUGAUAUCAUAACAAAGUAACCAUUGUUAAAAAACCUCGUGAAUAUUCACCAUAAUAUACAUUUACUAAUCAAACAUUUUUUAAGAAAAUGUAUCGACAUAAAUUCGUUUUCUUAAAUACGUGUGUCAAGAAAGGUUGAUAGUUUGGCAAGAUAGGAUCUCUAUUGCUAUACCCUACUCCACUAGAUUGGUAUUCUCUCUGUAUUAAAAUAAGUAGAUUUUAAGGUUUUUGCACACCUAUUAAAAAAUUAUAAAUUUUUAUUUAAUUUUUUUCGUUUAUCUAAAAACAAUAAUAAAUACAUAUAAUUCAACCAAUAAAAAAUCAUACUGCAAAAUACAAAUAGUCAAAAAUAUAAAAUUGUAUUUACUUUUUACAUGAAAACUUGAAAACAACAAUUAAAAUUAAACAAAAAAAUUCUCUUAAAACAUCAUUUAAAGUGAUACGGAGGGAGUACUAAACCUUGAUAUUAUAACCAAACAUCACUCUACAACAAAAUAAAGAUAUUAAUUGUGGUGUUAGAAAGAAAGUUAACGUGAGCUUUAUAAUCAAAAGGAAAAAAAGGAGUUUACACGAACAUAAUGAUACGUAACAUAAAAUAUAAAGAUUUGGUGGGUAAACAUUGGCCUUGUGUUCUAUCGGAGGGGCACUAGCCAAUUGUGUCUUAACAUCGCUUGUAAGGGUAUUUUAAGAUUUAGUUUACUAUUUUGUAUUUUACGGACCUCAAGGACUAAUGGUGAAACCAUAUAGGGGUAAGAAACAUAAGGACUAUCUACAUUUCAACUUAAUUAAAUUCCACAUGAAAUUAACUUUACGAUUCCAUAUCUACUUACACUCAAAAGUGUUAGCAUGUAACUCAGAAAAUAAGAUGGAUCACAAGCAAACGAAGUUAUUGGAAUAUGCAAAAGUUAUAUAACUAGAGUUGUUUCUUUUUUUUUUUGUCGACAAGUCGAGCUGUUAAUAUUCUCAAAGUAGAUCUCAACGUCCGGUCGUAUCUCUUAAAAUAAUGGUCGAGGUUUGGUUCACCGUAUUAGGACCAUAUAUAAGCUCAUUCUUUUUAUAAAAUAGUUAUUAAUAAUGAUAUCACCGUGAACUAACGUGGUUCAACACUAAUUUAUACACACCGAAACAAAUAACUACAUAAACUAAUAAUAAUGUAGGCUUAUAAUUGGUAGAUACAAUGUUAACAUAUUCCAUCAAUUAUAAGACCCGUUGGGUACAACCACAGUCCACACGUAAUAUUCAUUUUCUUAUUAAUUAGGUUGCUUUUUCUAGAACCAUAAUUAGGUGACUGUAAGGAACAUAGUUUCCAUAAGUUAACAUGUUACACAACUAGCAUGUAUUUAUGAUUUAAAUGAUGAGAAAUAUAAAAUGAAAAUGAUCUAUGAUGGUCAAGUGGUUAACUUAAAAGAAGCGAUAUCAAGAGUCUUCUCAUCAAACAUAUUUUGCCACUAUGAAUGUUUUAGAUGCUAAAAUAUAUCGUGAUCCACAUACUGUUUCUGAUAGAGUUUUAUUAUUAGAGAGAGUAGAUACUAGAUUGUUAAAUUUUAAUAAUGAUUGUGAAAAAUUAGACAAAAUUAAUAUGUCUAAAAUAAAAUAAGCAAAUCAAAGGUGGAGGCCACCAGAUGCGAUCAACCAUAUCUUCUUUCAUGUCACAUGCCGACGUCUCUCUAUGCGUUAAUAAUUAAGUGACAUUGACUUUGCAUUUGUACCAAUCUUAAAUCUUAUUUUUAUACACAUGGAUAUAGUUUUGAGCCGAAUAUAAAAUCAUAUCACAAUUUACUAGUCAAAUACUAAAUAUUCGUCGAAUAUGAUUUGGAAAUUACACAAUGGAUUUCUUUCAAAGGUCAAGUCAUAAAGUUGAAAAUUUUCAAAGUAAAAUGGUAUGUUCUUAUUAUAUAUUUGUGUAGAACAAGUCAAAUAAUUACUUUUGUUUUGCUUAUUACAAGGAUUCUACUUUUGUGAUAAUAAAUAGUCUUGAUAAUGUUUUUAUCGUCGUUAAUCUGAUAAAGACAUACAUAUUCCAACAAAUUAUUAUUAGUAUUAUUUUUCUUCUCUUUGCCAGUUCUUUUUACGUCAUAGACAAAUCUUAACUGAUCUAUUAUUUUCACUGGUAAGUGUAUGUGUUGGUUUAGAAUUUUUUAAUUUUUACUUGCUAAAUAUGUAUGUAUCGUCUAAUUUACAUCCACUUGAUAUUUUCACUCACCCCACUAACUCGUGUCGUGGUCUUCUUCUUCAAACUUGUAGGGUCAAAAGUUGUCAUGAUAAAUUUAUAUAUAUGAAUGUUUUGAAGAAGAGGAGGGGUCCUCUAUCAUCAAAGAGACAUGGAUGGUUGUGCUGAAGUUUAAAGAGACAAGAUCUCAAUCGAAGAUCUAUCCGACUAUACAUAUAUCUUUAGGGUUAUUGAGAUUCAAAGCAUGUCUACCCGACACAUCGUGCAUUACAAUUUCAUGAUCACUCCAUUCAUCAAAUCGUUUUUAGUCAACACCAUGAUCUUUUUGACUCUUGCGUCUCGACUCUUUGAUUACUAGAUUGGGUGCACAUAUAUAUAUAAUUUAAUUUUUGUUUCGUCUGGUUGAUCUUCAAGGUAAAAAUACGAUAUGCAAGACUAUAAAAUCAAGUGGGAGUUUAUUUUUCUUGAUAACUAGUUAGAAAGAGAUUGUUUUGGCCGUGCAAUUCAUAUUCCAAAUAUGUCAACAAGUUGUGUUGGUCCGUGGCAAGUAUUAGACUAGAAUAAACUAAAAUGAUUCCAUUCAUUCAAAUAAAGAAAUUGAAAAUUUGUUGAUGUUGACAUUCGAUUCAGCCACCCUUCAUAAAAGUGGUGGUAUGAGUAAAAAUUUAUCUUAGGUAAUCAAAACGGCAUGAUUUAUCACACACAUAUAGUUGUAUGAGUAAAAAAUUUCUAUAAUAGUUUAAGAGAUUGAACAAUUAGUAUGAAGCGACCAAAUUUUUAUUUUUGAAAUCAGUAGGAAUGGUCUUUGCCAACAGUCUGUUAACAAACAAAAUAAAAAGUUUAUUAAAAAGUAAUCAGGGAAGAUUGGAAAGGCCAAAAAGGGGGGAAAUGUUGAAAUGAGAAGGACAAUAUGGAACCCACUAGAGCAAUAAGAGGGAAAGAUAAUUUGGAGGGACCUUUCAUGUGUGUCUACCAUACUUAAGAUACGUGUCGUGCAAAAAAGAUGAUGAUGAUUGAUAAAUGGUGAUGAUGGGCAUGACUAUGGGAGGCAAAUCUUUGGCAGAGAAUCAAGUGAACAUACCAUGUCUUUGCCACUACCGCAUAACCCCAAGUGCUAACAGUUUCCUAUUCUUCUGCCAACGAAUCUUACUGCCAAGUAUACGUUAGUUGAAUCUGUUAUAAUCCCAUUGAAAUUUGGAAGUGUAUGUGUAUAAGUUAUAGACAACAAAAAAACACUCAAACACAAGUUAUUAUUAUUCUUUGCCAGCCUUCUAAAACAACUAAACUAUCUGUGGGCGGUAAAAUAACAAUGCAUGUGGUUGUGGUAGUAUACACAUUAAUCAAAUCCCUCAUCUUCUUAUCUUUAAUCCUUUAAAAUCUUCAUAUAGAUUUCUUUCCAUUAUUUUAAUCCAUUAACCAAAGUUUCUUUAUUUCCUUCCUCGUUGUCUACUUAUCAGAACAUUACUUUAAUCCCUCAAAACUUGCUUAGUCCGUAACUCAAAGCUAGAUCCAAACUUUAGUUUUAUUCUCUAUCUCUCUCCCUCUCUUUCUCUCCAUCUUUUAUUUCCCGUCCAUUUCUAAGCUCAUUCAAAACAAAAAAAAAUAUAAAAGUUAGAAACUUAGCACAAUGGGUAUGGUAAGAGAGUCACAGUUCCAUGUUUUGGCUGUUGAUGAUAGUCAAUUGGAUCGGAAAAUGAUAGAGAGAUUGCUGCAAAAGUCUUCAUGUCAAGGUAAAACAGAACAAAAACCAAAAUCUUUCAGUUAUGUUCUUGGAGAAACAUAGACAAGAUUCUAAAAAACGCUUUUUUUUUGUCGUAUGUUUGCAGUAACUACAGUUGAUUCCGGCUCCAAAGCUCUAGAGUUUCUAGGUUUGAGAGAAAGUAACGACCCAAAUUCACUCGAAACUCAUCAGGUUCUGUUCUUUUUCAUCGUUCAUUUGGUUUUGUUCAAAAUUUACAAUCAUCUUCUUGUUUUUUUGAAUGUUUUGUUGGUUUUUGGGUUUAAGCAGGAAGUUGAAAUAAAUCUCAUAAUCACAGACUAUUGUAUGCCUGGCAUGACUGGUUAUGAUCUGCUCAAGAAAGUUAAAGAAUCAGCAGCGUUUAGAAGCAUUCCUGUAGUAAUAAUGUCAUCAGAGAACGUUCCUGCUAGAAUCUCCAGGUAAAACCUCUGUUUCUUUUGAUUUGUGAAUAGGCAUUAGUAUUACUUGCGAGACAAGACUUCAACUUUAGACCUAAAAAAAGAAACAUUAGCUGUGUAGUUUUCUUGCAAUGGAUCUGGUUUAAAUGUCCUGAAAAUGUGAACUACAGAUGUCUGGAAGAAGGAGCUGAAGAGUUUUUUUUGAAGCCAGUAAAGUUGGCUGAUGUUACCAAGUUGAAACCUCAUAUGAUGAAAACCAAGUUGAAGAAAGAAGGUGAGAAGGUAGGUGAAGAAGAGAAUGCAACUUCGAAACCAGAAGAAUCAUUGGUGGUUGAAAUGAUCUUGCCUCUGAAUCAAGAACUUGAGUUGGAACAACAAGAACCAAUGUUAAGUAGUAAUAAGAGAAAAGCAAUGGAAGAAGUGAUAUCUGCUGACCGAUCACGUCCUAAAUACAAUGACAUCACAACCUCGGUCUGACCCGUUCGGUGUCCUCAAUGCUUCAGAGUUUCUUUUCAUAGGAAUGCUUCUUCUGGUAAAUACAGAGAGAAUGA
rnacentral:lncRNA from 1 species